AGUGAACGCUGGCGGUAGGCCUAACACAUGCAAGUCGAACGGCAGCACAGUAAGAGCUUGCUCUUACGGGUGGCGAGUGGCGGACGGGUGAGGAAUACAUCGGAAUCUACUUUUUCGUGGGGGAUAACGUAGGGAAACUUACGCUAAUACCGCAUACGACCUACGGGUGAAAGCAGGGGAUCUUCGGACCUUGCGCGAUUGAAUUAGCCGAUGCCGGAUUAGCUAGUUGGCGGGGUAAAGGCCCACCAAGGCGACGAUCCGUAGCUGGUCUGAGAGGAUGAUCGGCCACACUGGAACUGAGACACGGUCCAGACUCCUACGGGAGGCAGCAGUGGGGAAUAUUGGGCAAUGGGCGCAAGCCUGAUCCAGCCAUACCGCGUGGGUGAAGAAGGCCUUCGGGUUGUAAAGCCCUUUUGUUGGGAAAGAAAAGCAGCAGGUUAAUACCCCGCUGUUCUGACGGUACCCAAAGAAUAAGCACCGGCUAACUUCGUG
rnacentral:rRNA from 1 species